ensembl:snoRNA
CAUGCCCCAGCUCCGUGUUGCAGACGUGGCUGUAGUGCCUUGUUUGUGUCAUUAGGUGGCAGAGAGGAAGAGGCUGUGUCUGUGCUGGUGCUCUCACAAGGUGAGCACUCAGGGAUGAUGAGCAGCCUGACACU